CAGACUUGAUAAGUCUUUGAAAAAAAUAGACCGUUCUCAAGGACUCAUCGUGUAUUCUUAACCAUGAAGGUUUAGGGUAAUGUCUUCUUCCCAAAGGAGUAAAAUUAUUCCCGCGACUUAAAAGACAAAAUGGGAGAAAACUGCUCAGCUUAACCGCCCAGCAGUGUUUAAGAUGUAUGCGGUCGUCACGGCCAGGAAAGGCCGAGAGAGAUAGAAACGCUUCAGAGCUGAACUGAGCUUCUGUUUUCACCACAGUGUGCCGUUUCUAUAAUGGCAAACAGGCAAAGUUAAACAAAACUAUUAAUUAGGCUAAUAUGAAUAUGAUCACUGCCAGGAAAAUUCAAUUCUCUCUGCCCUAAUCACAACUGGAUAGCUUGUAAAAAUUAUUUUGUUAGGCCCUGGUGCAAACAGCGCGGCCUUUUCCAAACAUUUGAGAACUAUUUGUUUUGCGUGGCGAUUAGCGUUUGCUGGUAGCGAGCGCGGGAAGCGGCGGAGCAGCGAUAACCGCUGAGAGGGAACGGCUGACUCAGGGUGAGUGUGAACGCGGACCGCUGCUGUUGUUUACUGAGGCCUGUGUGUUUGAGCAGGUGGCGAGGAUUAGCGGUGCUGUCAACACUGAACGCUGGAUGAAGCUCUGCUCACCCUUUCCUCAGUCUGCUCACUAGAGCUCAUCAUUUUAGCAUUUCACUCUCACACGUAUCUGAAGAGUGGCAGCCCUGUCUCCUGUUGUGAAGCAGAUGUUGCCCUCUGUUUUUACCCACCUCUGCACCCUUUAUCCCAUGCCAAGUCCUAAGAAGCAAUGGUGCCAUGCUAAGUGAGGGACACAAUGGAUAUGUAAAAAUAGCAGAAUACAGACUGCAAGCUCACAUUAAGAUCUGCCUCCGCAUGGGAGAAUUGAACCAUCCC